rnacentral:rRNA from 1 species
AUUGAACGCUGGCGGCAGGCCUAACACAUGCACGUCGAGCGAGCGGCGGACGGGUGAGUCCUGUCUGGGAAACUGCCUGAUGGAGGGGGAUAACUACUGGAAACGGUAGCUAAUACCGCAUACCAUCAGAUGUGCCCAGAUGGGAUUAGCUAGUAGGUGGGGUAACGGCUCACCUAGGCGACGAUCCCUAGCUGGUCUGAGAGGAUGACCAGCCACAAUGGAACUGAGACACGGGCCAGAAUCCAACGGGAGGCAGCAGGGGGUAAUAUUGCACAAUGGGCGCAAGCCUGAUGCAGCCAUGCCGAGUGUGUGAAGAAGGCCUUCGGGUUGUAAAGCACUUUCAGCGGGGAGGCGUUACCCGCAGAAGAAGCACCGGCUAACUCCGUGCCAGCAGCCGCGGUAAUUC